rnacentral:rRNA from 1 species
CAACCUGCCCAUCACUCGGGGAUAACCUUGCGAAAGUAAGACUAAUACCCAAUGAUAUCUCUAGAAGGCAUCUGAAGGAGAUUAAAGAUUCAUCGGUGAUGGAUGGGGAUGCGUCUGAUUAGCUUGUUGGCGGGGUAACGGCCCACCAAGGCGACGAUCAGUAGGGGUUCUGAGAGGAAGGUCCCCCACAUUGGAACUGAGACACGGUCCAAACUCCUACGGGAGGCAGCAGUGAGGAAUAUUGGUCAAUGGGCGAGAGCCUGAACCAGCCAAGUAGCGUGCAGGAUGACGGCCCUAUGGGUUGUAAACUGCUUUUAUAAGGGAAUAAAGUGAGUCUCGUGAGACUUUUUGCAUGUACCUUAUGAAUAAGGACCGGCUAAUUCCGUGCCAGCAGCCGCGGUAAUACGGAAGGUCCGGGCGUUAUCCGGAUUUAUUGGGUUUAAAGGGAGCGUAGGCCGGAGAUUAAGCGUGUUGUGAAAUGUAGACGCUCAACGUCUGCACUGCAGCGCGAACUGGUUUCCUUGAGUACGCACAAAGUGGGCGGAAUUCGUGGUGUAGCGGUGAAAUGCUUAGAUAUCACGAAGAACUCCGAUUG